rnacentral:tRNA from 1 species
UGUUAGUAUAUCGGUUAGUAUGCCAGCCUGUCACGCUGGAGAGCUGGGUUCGAUUCCCAG